rnacentral:rRNA from 1 species
UACAGAGGUCCCAAGCGUUGUUCGGAUUUACUGGGCGUAAAGGGCGCGUAGGCGGUCAGCACAAGUCAGUUGUGAAAUCUCCGGGCUUAACUCGGAAAGGUCAACUGAUACUGUGCGACUAGAGUGCAGAAGGGGCAACUGGAAUUCUCGGUGUAGCGGUGAAAUGCGUAGAUAUCGAGAGGAACACCUGCGGCGAAGGCGGGUUGCUGGGCUGACACUGACGCUGAGGCGCGAAAGCCAGGGGAGCGAACGGG